CCCUCAGCCACCCACAGUCCACAGGAAGUCACUGUUGCCAGGGGAGCGGAGGUCAGCGAGGCAGCUGUGAGUGUCGGACCACAUGGCACCAGCUGCUGCUCUGUGCAGCGAGGGAAGGAGGGCUUCCUGGAGGGGCAGAGCCCGCACGGAAGGAAAGCGCCUUCCUCCUAGGGUAGCUCUGCCAGGGCAGAUGGGUCACAGUUGGUGCUGGUCACUCUCCUGGCUUCCCGGCUCCAGUCUCUGCCCAGCCUCUGCCUGCCCUGGUCCUAGGGGCUGCCCCAGGGAUUGCACCACGGUCACAACCCAC
rnacentral:lncRNA from 1 species